GUCCCUGUAGCUCAGAUGGAUAGAGCGUCCCCCUCCUAAGGGGAAGGUCACAGGUUCAACUCCUGUCAGGGACACCA
rnacentral:tRNA from 1 species